UAACGAAUGUGAUGUUCUUCUAAAUAUUGAUCUAACCAAACCUGGUGACCUUCAAUACCAAUGGGAGGAAAGCUCAGCAAUUCCCAAUGAUGGCACCAUCGCGGCAGCUGGAGGCAUAAUCCGAACUUCAGAAUGCAGCCCACCAAAAGGAGAGAGAAGAAAGACCCAGCUGUCACCGACAGCAGGCAGGGUCGGUCUGGAAAGAGGGAUGACUUCUCCCCCUGGAAAGAAGGCCGAAGACUUCAGAGGACAUGGCCUGAUCCUUGCAGAAAGAGGCAUCAUCCCUAUCAGGAAUGCCCUCCAGCAGAAUCUGUGAGUUCCGAACUCUUUGCUGAGCCAGGAUGCUGCCUUUCUGCACAAAGCUACCGGAGAAAAACGGAAAGAAAUGACAGCAUGUCAAGAUGCACAUUUUCAAGGGAAAAGUUAAAGAUCAGCAUUAUAAUUUUAAACUUAAGAACAAGCACUUAGAAGUCAUGUAUUUGUUGAUUAACUACCCAGUUCAGCUUGGGGCGAUGGACCUGGGGAGGAACAAGGAUACCAGAUACUGGGUUGAAGCCUGAACGCAAUGUGACAAAUGUCUUUUGAGAAAAUACCCAUUGUGACUGCAGAGUACAUCGCUGCGCAUUGUGCCAUCAGUAAAAAAAAGGAAAAAAAGAGCAUGGUUAUAAAAGCACAGCCCUGAAUCCAACAGCUUCUCAGCCUUGACAGAAACCCCACGGGCUGAUACUGAGGCUUACUUCAAAUCUUAAAAUUUACCUGCAUGGAAAACUU